GAUGAACGCUGGCGGCGUGCCUAAUACAUGCAAGUCGAGCGAACAGACGAGGAGCUUGCUCCUCUGACGUUAGCGGCGGACGGGUGAGUAACACGUGGAUAACCUACCUAUAAGACUGGGAUAACUUCGGGAAACCGGAGCUAAUACCGGAUAAUAUAUUGAACCGCAUGGUUCAAUAGUGAAAGACGGUUUUGCUGUCACUUAUAGAUGGAUCCGCGCCGCAUUAGCUAGUUGGUAAGGUAACGGCUUACCAAGGCAACGAUGCGUAGCCGACCUGAGAGGCUGUUCGUCCACACUGUACCGGAGCCACGUUCCAGACUCCUACGGGUGGCUGCAGUACGUUAUCUUCCGAAAAGUGCGAAGUCCUUGCGGGGCAACGCCGCUUUAGUCAUGAAGGUCUUCGGAUUGUAUAACUCUGUUAUUAGGGAAGAACAAUUUUGUAAGUAGCUAUGCACGUCUUGACGGUACCUAAUCAGAAAGCCACGGCUAACUACGUG
rnacentral:rRNA from 1 species